rnacentral:misc_RNA from 1 species
ACAUAAGAUGAAAACAUUGCGAUUUGACGAGAUUUUAACAUAUGGCAAUAACAAUCAACAUAAAACAAGCAUUUCAUUGAAAAUCGACAUUUAUAUUAUAGAAAUAUUUAUACAUAGUUAUUUAAUCGUUGCCGGAUAGUUGUUUGUUGAGGAAGAAACGGCGCAGCAGGAGGAAACAAUGGAAACUUCGAGACUCAGCAUGGGAGGCAGCAAGACCUCAAAAAAGAAGAGUACUCGGAGGUCAAGUGUAAACAGCAUCAAUAAUAAUAAUAAUAAUAAUAAUAAUUUUAGCACACCAAACGAACCGUCGAGCUCUUCUCACAGCCUCGAUUUUGACAUCUUGACGAUCAAAAACGUGGUAUCUAAGCGGUACCCUAUUGAGGUAAACCUGACUAUUUUUUUCAAGCAGCGGCUGCUGACGACGACUCCUAAUUUCAUAAUACGCAGCCCUGGGACGUAUAGAAUAGAUUUUAAUUUCAAGUUCAAGAUACGUAAGAUCAAUGCAGAGAUGAUGGACCAGUUGAUAAGUGAGCCACUGCUGAUAGUCCUGACGAAAUUACGACAUGGCCAACUAAACAAGGUGAACUAUUUCUCGGCCAAGUCCUACAGUCGUUCAAUGCGCUUUAGAAACAAACUAGAACUGAUGACGGCGACGCCAAGAAGUCCGUCACUGACCGAAGAAGAGUUGAAAGAAUUGGAGAAGAGGCAGAUAAAGAGAUUCAAGGGAGAGGAGAGCACAGUCCUUCCUUGCACGCUCGGAGAGUGUACCUUAGACCUUCUUCCCCUUGUUAAAGGGCAAUUGGUUAUUGAAGAGGAGCUUCUUUUGGAAAGGCCAAUGAGAUACCGCACCCUCCCACUUAGAAUGAGACCCAUCAAUUCGAGAAUGGUUCUCAGCAUCAGAGUCUCUGAUGAGAACAACUUCACAAAAGACUUGCCACCACUUCACAAUGUCCUCAUGUAUACUGUAGAAGCUCUCUACAACUACGACGUUGAAAAGCUAUCAGUUAAUGAAUUAUCAACCAUAACUGCCACUAUGCCAUUACCCCAUAAUGUUCCAACAAAUUCUGAAGAGAGGGCUUUCACACUCUACCAUUUUGAACCAGGCAUUAUUUCAUCGUCGGUUAACAUUGACUACAAAAAGAAAUGGUAUGGAUUGGCAAACAUAUUGAGAGGAAAGGGCUCUUACUCAAAUCAUAGGAUUCCUACGGGCUACGAUGGCAUAAUGAACAAUAUGGGCAUCGAUUUGCAGAAAAACAUCGAGAAGCAUCAACCGCGUAUAAAUUGGAAUAUUAUGCGGCGUAUUUACAUGACACCAGAGACUGAGGACGUCUUCAUCCACAACCUGAUACAGUACAGGUGCCUGCCGGUAGAGAUACUGUUCAAUAUGAGUGGGACAGUAGACUUGAAGGGGAUAACGGGCAAAACCAUAGGAUCCCAGAGCUCGCUGUUUAGCUACAGGAAGAUGUCCCGCGUCUCCAUAAGCUCUCAACGGCGAAACACCAAGCUCCGUAAACUCUUGGAAUCGACUGAUAAUGUGGAUGUUGGACAUUUUGUCGCCUUCUUGGACAUAUCUAAACUUUUGAUUCCUGGGGUUACAUCAGCUAGAAUUGCUGCGCCUGUUCAGAGAAUCAGUUCAGUUGAUUAUAAGCAAAAAUGGAAUGCAAAAGAACCAAUUUUGAAAAAUCAUUUGGUGGGAGCUAAUAUUCCCAACGCAUAUGAAGAAACUGAUGAGUUCUCCAUCCCAGGAACCACCUGUUUUAUCAUAGUUGAAAUUAGCUUGAUGAAACCCCUGAUUCCAGAAAAAGAAAGCUUGGGUUGGGAAAUGUCAAUGCCACAACUUGCUACUGAGAAAAUUAAUGAUAAUACUUUAAAUAGUAAUGUAGUACCUAUGGACCAUUUUGCAAAAGCCACCAAGUUCAUAAUUUUCCUAAUUAAAAGAGAAAUGGAAGAUUUUUAUAUGUUGAGGCACUGCAAACAGUAUUCUGAAGUGUCAUAUUAUAAAGAAAUGGAUUUCUGGGGCCACCUCGGCCACUCGGGCGCCAUGAAAAUUAUUCACGAGACUCUAAGAACGAGUGUAAACAAUUACAUUCACAAUGUUUUAGGAACACCACAAGAUAAUCUGACUUCACUCGAAAGAAAAGAAUAUAUGGCCAAUUUAUAUUUUAAAAUUGUAGACAAAAUUCACCAAGUUAUAAACACCUUACUUCAGUCAGACAAAGGCCGCAUUGAAAAAAUUGUGCACUACAGUAAGCCCGACAUGGAUGAGCUCUUGCUCUAUGCUGUGGAGGCUGGUGAACAGCUACAAUUUCCAAAAGCUAGAUACUACCUAGCAAAGAGGUUAGAAAUGAAUGGCUUCAGAAAUCCUGACUACUGGUUUGACUAUGGUGUCAUGGCCCUAAGAUUCGGCGAUGUCUACCUGGCAAUAGAGUCUAUGAAAGAAGUGCUAGCCAUCUACCCAAGACACAGGAUGGGACUUUUAGCAUAUGCAAUCUUGCUAACCGUAAUGGGAGAAUACGAGGAAGCUGAAAAGUUCUUCUAUUCAUGUGUCAAGUUCUACCCGACCUUUUGGCAAGCUUGGAUCACUUAUCAUGUGUUUUACAAGCAUAUUGAGCUCUUUGAAGGUGCAGACAUUACUUUUGUAUUAGGAGUAAGGUAUAUGAGCGAAUUUCCAUUGAAAAAAGAAUGGCAACCCAAUAUUCCUAGAAUAACAUGGUACAUAGAUCUCUGCAAUUGUUUUAAUGUAUUCUUAGAGACUGCUAAAUUUCUGCUGUCCUACAAUCUGUUUGAGUUUGCAGAAAUGUGCCUUGCCGAGUACUUGGAUUCUGUAGACAAAAAGGACGUCUGUUUUUAUUAUUAUCUCGCCGUGUGUCAUUUUAUUCAGGGCCGCUUUCAAGAUAGUCUUGUUCAUCUUGCACAACUCAUCGAGGAAACUAACAUAGAAAAUUACAAAGUAUGGUCUCUCAUUGGAUUCAACUAUUAUAACCUCGGGAACAGCGAUCAAGCAAGAAAAGCAUUCAUCGAGGCACAGAAAUGUCUUAAAGAUUACUCAGCUGUCCCAUUCAUGCUAAUCAGAGUUGGAUUUGAUUAUAUAGAGAGGGGUUGUUCAGAAAAGGCGAAAGAAUUCUUUUUAGAAGUGUUGAAAACAUAUCAUACUCCUUUGGCUUGGACUGGUCUAGGAAUUUCUUAUUACUUGGUAAGAUGGAAGAUUUUGAAAAAUCCGAAAUUGCUCUUCUUGAAGCAAAUGCACUUGACCCGAAUCAAGCAAUUGUCUGGACAUACUUAGCAUUGAUCUUUCUUCAAAGGCAUUCACUAUUUUUAUACGUACAAUGUCUUCUAGAAGCCAGAAGGUGUGGGCUAGAAGACAAAAAAUUAUUCAAACAACUAGAAGCAUUGCAAGAAAGAAUGUAUUCUGAAUCGACAGUCAAGCAAGAAAUAUCUGUGGCAGAAAAAUCCCCAACGAACAGUUUAUACU